ensembl:lncRNA
GUGCAGCCAAGGGAAUGCUUCAUACCAAAUAUCUUGGAACGUAAGAGUCCUAUUCAGCAGAGUUUGUGGCUCAAUUUCUCGUGCACUGGGCUGGUACGGGCCAUCCAAUGGGUGUUCAAGGCAGAUCCCCACAGUUUGAGUAGCUGGCUGCUCCUGAAAUGUAGUUCAUUGGAUGUCUUUCUCAAGACAUUUGAGGGCCUCACCUCGUCAUGCUCAUCUGCCUGUUCCUGCAUUUCUUGGACAUGGGUCC